UAUAACAUCUUAAAGCUACGGAUCGAAGCAUAGUUACCGCAAGUUGUAUCGUUUGUUGAUCUUGAAAUCGAGAUUAUUUUUACGUACUUCUGUUCGAAAAUAACUUAUAAAGUUGCAAAACGGCGCAUGAAUUGCACUGCCCGCAGCGUUGGAGCUAAGGUGAAGUCAGACGCGGAGCUCAAAGAUUCUUUGCAGGAG